CUCAAAAAAUAAAUAAAUGAAACUGAAAAACAAACAGUAAAAGUAUAUCAUUUUUAAAUUAUGUAAAUAGAUAUCAGAAGAAGCACCUAUGGAUGCUCUGAGAGCAGGACACAGGAGGGAAAGUCAUAAAGAGAUGAGACAGAGGACUGGAGUUUUCAUUACAGGUUAUCUGAGUACCUGGCUUGGGGCCAGAAAAAUUCAGAUUUCAAAUCUUGUUGAAUUUCAGAUUUUGUCAGAUUUUGGAAGACUUGCAUUGCCAGUUGGGCAUCCCAAAUCCAAAUAUUUAAAACUCAAAAUGCUCCAAUGAACAUUUUCUUUGAGAGUCAUGCUGGCACUCAAAAAGUGCCAUUUAACAUUUUGGGUUUCAGAUUUUCAGAUUCGGGAUGCUCAACCUGUAUAACCCUUGUAGUACAAUUUUCUUUUUAACUGCACAGCUGUAUAAGUCAAAUAUUAAUUUUUUUAAAAAAGGGAACAAAACCAGGGGUCCUUUGUUAUUCAUUACAAUUAAUAUCCCACAAAUAUCUGAGCAUCACGAUGUGUCAGAUACUUUUCUAGGUGCUAGGAAGACAACAGUGGACAAAAUAAGCCCUUGCUCUCAUGAAGCUUACAAUCAGAGAGGGAGGCAGAUAAUAAACUAAUGUAUGUUCUAAUGUCAGAUAAAGCAAUGAUGUAAAAAUAAAUAAAUAAAGCAAGGCAAAGGCACAGAGUACGAUGGGGGAUGCUAUUUAAUAGGGUUUUCAGAAAAGACUUCUUCCAGAACAACAAAAGGAAAUCAAACUAAAGAAAAUCUGUUCUGGAAAAAAAAAAAGGUCAUGUAAGUGAAAUAAUAGAAAGCUAUCAAUUAAAUUCAAGAUGAGAGAUUCAAGUCUUUUACACUCCAAAAUAAUGUAUUAUUCAAAAGCCAGAACCAAAAGUUUCUCUGUAAUGAAAUAAACUGCCAAGCCUCUUCAAGCUAAGUCAUAUGAACACUGCUAUAUCCACAUACCUGUAUGUCUAUAUAGAUCCUUCCCAUAUCCCUAACUAGGUACUUAGUAAAGUAACUAUGUAAAUUUAUAUUCAAACUUUUUUCUUUCCAUAGAAUAGGUAAAUGUAACACAUUUUAAAUUCCAGUGUUUUAUUUCUAUUAUGUAGUUAAAAGUUUUCCUAAAUCAAAAGCAUUAAAUCAAAAAGAUUCCACAUUAAUUCCAUGGUACUAAAAUUUAUCACACCCAAUCUUUAUUCUCUCACUAAAAAGGAAACAACAGGAAAUUUAAGACACAUUUAAAGAAACAAUUUAUAGGGUAAUGCAAUACAUUCAUUUUCCUCUCCAAGGAACCUCAGGCUGGGGUAGUUUCAAGCUAUUUGAAUUAUCUUUCAUUGAAAAUUAACUUAAAAAAAAAGUAGUCAGAUUAAAGUGACAAUUUUAUUCCAAAUACAGGCAUUACACAGUAUCUCAUAUUCAAAAAAUGGAUACAUUUCAACAUAUCUUAUUCUCAAACCGUGUAUCAUUAAAAUUAAAAGUAAACCCAACUAUGUGUCUAUUUUACAUAGCAAAAAAAAAAAAAAAAAGCAUGCUUUGGGAGAAAAUAAAUGGGUUUAAAGUUUAACUCACAAAAGAAAACAAAUCUGAUUAAAUAAAUUUCAAUUAAUAGUUUAAGGUUUAAAAGUUAUUUUAAAAAUUUCUGGAAAACCAGAUUGUCAAGGAAUUGGUUCACUCAUAGUCAGCCAGAAAGAAAACGGUGAUAUUUUAAAAUUUUAGACCAAAAAAAAAUUUAGAUUCCCUUAUAAAUAAGUGCCAAGAGAGAAUAUUUUCAGCAAACAUUUCAUUUAACUACAUAAACCAAAAGAAUAAGGCUGUCUAACCACAUGUAAACUAUGCAUCAUCUGACUUCAGGUAGAAUAUUUAUCUUUGGUAUACUUGGUAACCAGAAACCCAAAGUAUAUAAACAUAGGCAUAUUUUAAAAACAUUUGUCAAUGUUUUUGUUCUCCAGGCAAUAAUUCCCACUAUCCUCAGAAAGAGAAAAACAAUAUCCUUAAUCAAAAAGUUAUCAGAGGAGUUUCUACUUCUUAAACUUUUAAACUAACAUUUUUGCCCACUUACUAUUAAACUCCAUCAGGGCACAGACCUGUCUCUUCCCCUGUUGCGUCCCCAACCUCUAGGGGACUAACUGGCACCAAGUAGGUACCCAAUAAAUACGUGCAGAAUGAACUGAGCCUCUGGAAAAAGCUUAAGUGUUUUAAGUUGCAAUAGGACAAUUUCACCUAUAUAUCGAUCAUUCACUACACUCAACUCUAAUGACGUAAUAAAAAGACUCGUACCAGGUAUUUAAAAACACACACACAAAUAUAUUACUCACAUAUGUAUCUGACUCACAAAGCCAGAUAUUUUCUCUCAGGAAAAUUUGUUGUAUUCUUUCGAGUAUUACAUAUAAAUAUUAGAAAAGCAUGUUGUGUCCUGACAAAUGCAAGUGUUAUCUUCAAAUUUAUGUUGCAAUCUGAAAAAAAUCUAGGCAAACUAAACAGUAUUUCCAGGGUCCUGCCCCAAAGUAUUACUAAAAGUCAAAUUCCUUAAUUCAAUGAAAAGUGAAAUAAGGCACAGUGGGGCUCACGCCUGUAGUCCCAGCUCCUUGGGAGCCUGAGGCGGGAGGAUCCCUUGAGCUCAGGAGUUUGAGACUAGCCUCAGCCAAAUAAGAAGAAUCCACCUUAAAAGAAAAAAAAAAGUGGAAUAUAAUGGAAAAAACGUACAUUUUACCGUUUAAAAACUAUGCUGAAUUUUAAAAAGAAAAAAUGAACUAGGCUUAAAAUACACUGAAAUUAUUUAUCCCAAAUGGCAUUAAUGCCUUUACAUCUUGAUAUUUGGAUCUGCCUAAAAAGACCUUUGAAGCUACAUGAUAAACUUCAUGCCUACAAAGCUUGAGUUAGAGGUUAUCUUUGUUAAAAUAAUACUCUUUGGAUGUUUAGUUUUGGAAGUUUCCUCAUAAUUCUAAAGUAAGAUAUUUAGCAGUAAGAGUAAUACACUUAUAUGUACGACUCUAUAGCACUUGUUCAAUAGCACUUGUACAAGCAUAAUUAUCUUGAGUGGAACAGGCUUUAUAAUGAGCAAGCUAUGAUCUGCCUAACAGCAAUACUCUGCAAACACGGACUGAAAAGUUUCCUAACAUUCUGAUGGUCAUCUUCAAAGAAACUUGAACAGGAAUCGAUCUAAUGGUCGAUGAGACAGAAAAAUACCCAAGACAACUCACAAACACUGGUAAGAAAACAAGGCUCUCUAUAGCAAUUAAAGUGUUGGGGAAAAAAAAUCCAGGGAGCAUAAACGAUAAAGCUCAAUUAACUGCUGCCUGUAGGUUUCUACUUUAUGGUCUUAAAUACACACUAGGCAUUAGGUAUUUCUUUUAGAGCUUUUUUUUUUCUUUUUAACAGAAAUUUAGUAUUUCAAUUGCCCCUCCUCCACAGCUAACAUCAGUGCCCUUUCUUCCUCCUCCCUUACCCCUCCCAGCUCAAACAAAUUAACAUUUGUACUAGGUACCUCCUAUCAGCUCGCAGCUUCUUCCCAAACACGCCCACGUACACUGAAACUGGCCUGCGUCUACAAAACACACAGCUACAGGAAAAGAGCUUGGGGGGGGGGAGCUGAGGAGGGGGAAUAAUCGCUCCGCACAGGUUUACGGCUAUUUUCCAGAAAUUAGCUCCUCGCUCAUGGCUCGCGUUUCUUCCAAAUCACCUCCAAAGCACGGUGUUUAUGAGCCUACCUAAUCCGAUACUGCAAUGGAAUUCCGGAUAUUUGCAGAUAGAUCUCCCGGCUUUGCAAGUGUUUGAUGAGAUACGUUCGGAAUCUCCUUUUUUCUAGAGCCCGGUUCCUGGCUGUACAGCAAGCCGACCUGAGGCUGCGGCCCCUGCCCCACACCCGGGCCGCGCGAUCGGCCCGAGGCCAGCGCAGGACGCAGCCCCUCCGGGGCCGGGGCUGGCGGGGCAGCUUGGGCUGCGGGCCGCUCUGCAACAGGUCACCCUGACCGCGAGUCCGCGGGUUCGCGGGCGGCCAACUCUGCGGCCAGGCUUCUGGGCGCAGCCGCUGGGGCCAGGGGAGGGGGUGUGGCCCGGCUUCGGCUGGUCCUGGCUCCGAGGUCCGGGAUCCGGCUCACCUGAAGGGAGGCUGACGCGCCGCUGGGCGUCAGAACAGCGCGGGUGGAGGCUGGGGGCUUCCGCCACCCAAGAGGGAGAGCGAGGCGGGUUCAAGGGGUCGCCGCGCCCCCGGCUUCAGGACGGCGCCCCCAAGCGGGGACCCCACGACCGCUCCGAUUCUGAGAACCCGCGGCCGAGGGAGGCGCGCCCCCCAGCGCCCCUCUACCUCAGCCCCAGCUCCGCAACCCCCUCCCUGCGCGCAGGGAGAGCAGCCCCGGGGCCCGCGGCCGGCAGAGCCACACUCCGCAGCGCCGCCGCCGCCGCCAUUCCCCGCGCCGCCCGGGGGGCGCCGCGCACCCACCCUCCCUCGCUCCCCCGCAUCGCCCCGCGGCCUGA